rnacentral:lncRNA from 1 species
AGAUACUGACUGAGCACCUGGUGGGAUAGAUACUGCAACAACAACUUCAUCACCUGGACAAACACCAAAUUCAGACUUGCCUCUGGUUUUCUCUCCUUAAAUAAGAUACUGCUACAUGUUAACAGCAUUUUAUUAGCUAUAAAGUGCGGAAGGGCUUCCUCCCUCUUCAAGAGUCUGCUGGGAUUCCGCUGUCAUGGACAACAUUUCAUUCUUAUGAAAUUAAAAUUUCACCUACAGGCAGGAUUCUGCCAGUGCUUAUGCUAUACAGACAUAUGGAAUGCAAAUGUCCUCGGAGCAGCACACAGCCUUGUUGGCAGGAUGAGACAGGAUUCUUGAAAGCUGUACUAAUGCGACUGGUGCUGAAAAAAAAAAUGGAUGUCUUAGGAUAUGUUCUUGCUUUUUAAUGGAAAAAGAAACAUGAAUGCAUAAAUAUGUAUAAUGUGAGAAUAUCUUUCAUACAAAUAGGACAUUAAAUGAUAGUGUCUAUGGAAGCAUGAUGAGAAGAUAUGCUAGGAACGUGCUGGGCACAAUUAGGGGCAUGGUAGAAUGCAUCAUUAUCAAGGACUUGCGGAUAAUUGAUGCUACUGAGCCGAUGGAGCGUGGUGUAGCAGAACAGCUCAGGUGCUAGAAAUAGCCAGUCUCAUUGACUCAACUGUGUUUCCUCAGAGAAUCCUGAUUCUCAUCUUUCCUAUCUGUAAAUGGAAGGGAGGAUAGCAAAUAAUAAUAAAUGUUAUUUGGUGAC